CCUACGUGGGGCAGCAGUGAGGAAUAUUGGUCAAUGGACGAAAGUCUGAACCAGCCAUGCCGCGUGCAGGAUGACGGCUCUCUGAGUUGUAAACUGCUUUUGUAUUAGGGUAAACCACCCUACGUGUAGGGGCUUGAAAGUAUAAUACGAAUAAGGAUCGGCUAACUCCGUGCCAGCAGCCCCGGUAAUACCGAGGAUCCAAGCGUUAUCCGGAUUUAUUGGGUUUAAAGGGUGCGUAGGCGGUUUGAUAAGUUAGAGGUGAAAUACCGGGGCUCAACCCGGGAACUGUGUGUAAUACUGUUGAACUAGAGAGUAGUUGCGGUAGGUGGAAUGUAUGGUGUAGCGGUGAAAUGCUUAGAGAUCAUACAGAACACCGAUUGCGAAGGCAGCUUACCAACCUAUAUCGGACGUUGAGGCACGAAAGCGUGGGUAGCAAACAGGAUUAGAUACCCUAGUAGUC
rnacentral:rRNA from 1 species